GACGAACGCUGGCGGCGUGCUUAAUACAUGCAAGUCGAACGGAAAGGCCCUGCUCUUGCGGGGUGCUCGAGUGGCGAACGGGUGAGUAACACGUGAGUAACCUCCACCUGACUUUGGGAGAACUUCUGGAAAAUGGGGCUAUUACAGGAUAGGAGCUCCUGCUGCACGGUGGGGGCUGGAAAGUUUCGGUGGUUGGGGAUUGAAUGGCGGCUUAGCGGCCUGUUGGUGGGGUAGUGGCUUACCAACGCUUCGACGGGUAGCCGGCCUGGGAGGUGGGACGGACACAUUAGGCCUGGGAUACGGCCCAGACUCGAACGGGAGGCAGCAGUGGGGAAUAUAGCACAAGAGACUGAAGCCAGGUGCAGCGGCGCCACGUGCGGGAAGACAGGCUGCGAGUAGUGAACCGCUGUCGCCUUAGACGAGGCGUGAGUGACGGUAAUGGGUAAAGAAGCACCGGCUAACUACGUG
rnacentral:rRNA from 1 species